AAAGAUCGAUACCGAGGGGGGCAUGAUGCCCCGGAGAAUUCCUGCUCUGGCAGGCAGUCCGUACCCAGUACUGGCUGAAACUCCCUAUACCUCAACAAGUUGCCACUCCGGCGUGAAGGUAUCGUUCU
rnacentral:sRNA from 34 species